rnacentral:sRNA from 1 species
CAUCACUUUUAUAAGGAAUGGCUAUGGCAGCAUUGAUCUACACAUCAAACAGACUUCUUUGUAGAUUGAUACAAAUGGUAUAAUUUUGGAGAGACUAUGUAGACUUUCAUCUUGCCAGGGUCUUUAAGCACAGUGCAAGCAAACAUGUUCAGUUUGUGCUUUAUGGCUUUUAUCAUAAAGCCAAGACUUUUCUCUUCCUCUUUGUGAACUGUCAAGCUGUAACACUGAGAUGAAUCAACCCCAUUGUAAAAUAAAAGUCCAAGCCUUGGAGGAAAGUCAUAAAAGCAAAGAAAUAUUUGGUCCCUGUGCAAUGUGGAUGCUAAUUGAUUAUUAUGACAUACAUUUAGCAAAUGAACCAAUAGAAAUGAAACUUAAGACAGGCAUGGAUAAAAAAAAAAUGUAUUUGUAAGUCUCUUAUUGAGAUCAGGAAAUAAGAACAUGCCAGCCAGAAUUUAGCAUAUUGAAGAGUUUGUUUGUAAUAAGGUUCACCAAAAGUUCAUUGUGUAUUUCUUCUAUAAGUUUUCUUAAAUUCCAUUUGUAUGGGUUUUUUUGUGUGUAAAUAGUGCAGAAUUUAAAGACUAUUUUAAUUCACUGGUAGGUAAUUUUUUUUUUAGGGAUAUUAGAUGUGGUUAUGCCACAAGACAUCUUUGUUACCCAGCAAGAACAAUCAAAAUGCUUUUAUUUUGCAUCAUUGUUCAUUGUUGAAUCACUAUUUGGGUGUGCUUGUUGUCAUAGGAUAGAGUCAAUCCAUUUUAGUUUGGGUUUCUCUUAGAAAAAACUUUUUUAUUUUACUGCAACUAAGCAGUGUUUUACAUUGUUAGUUUUGUCUUACUUUAUAUCAAAGUUAAUGAAUGUAGUCAUAAACAAGAAUAUUUGUAAUAUUAAGUAUUGACUUUUCUGUGAAAACUAUGGUUUAAGUGAAAUUAAAGAUUGAUUUAGCUUCC